AACACAGCGUCCCCCAAUCACUAGUACUCUAGUAUGGGAGCGCUUAACUGGCGCCCGAGCAGGGACCUGAAUUCUUCACGGAAGUAAAGGGAAAUGGUGACGUGUCAAUAAUUCUAUAAAAAUACCUUAUUAAAAAAGCAAGUACAAAUAAAUUUUUCCAAUCCAAUUGGGCAUUUAUUGGCAAAAUUACGAAGUACUUCUGCGAUUUGCAAAGUAAUGAGGUGAAAGUCCUUGCCAUAACAUAAUACAAUAAAUAAUAACAUAAUUUCUAGCAAGUGUUGGUGCACUAGAUAAUUCUAUAACAUAAAAGAAAUCGUGGCUAAAUGGUGGUAUUGGUAAUACCUAGGUUCAAAUCCGUGCCGAGACGAGUCUUAAAACGAAAAUACAAGAAAUUUGCAGGCAUAAUGGUGGUACGAGAUUGAUUCUCGUAUCGAGGUUCAAAUCCUUGCCGUAAGACAAAUGUCAUAAAAAAUAAACGUCACAAUUUCCACCUGUGUUGAAUGAUGGGUUUCCGUAUAAAUUAAAAGAAACCUAGUGGUCAAAGUUAAGUUUAAAGCACUAACUAUAUAACAAAAUUAAAAGGCGGUUGUCUGGAAAUCUCUAAUCAACAAGCAAAGCAUAAAUAUGCAAAAAUAAAAACAUGAAUUGCAGAGACCUUCUAUUCGAUCGUGGAAUAACCCUUACCCUAGUAGGUCUUAGAACCAAAGAGGAAUACUUUGGGCUUCCCUUUCGGAAGAGAAUAAGUCUGGCAACAAUAUAUAAAAGAAAAAAGUAAAAUAAAUAAGUAAAUGAAACGAAAGCAAGAGAGAGACCAGAUGAUUGUGGAACCACCCUCACCUAAGUAGGUCUUACACCAAAAAGGAUCCUGAGGGCUUCCCAAGCCAUAUAAAAUAAUAAAAACUGUUUGCCGGUUCGGUAACAAAAGAUAAUACAACUAGUAAUUGGUAAUUCAGUAAUUCUAUAACAGACAACGCAAUAACACACGUGGUAAUACACACACGUAAUUCAAUACAAUUAGUAAUUCAAUGAAAUAAUAUAAAAGAAAUAAUAUUCACGUCAACUAUUUAAAAAAGGUGUUACGACCAUGUGAGAGCAUUACUAAUAUAUUUAUCUCCACAGAAAGCAAUUCUACGAGACGAUUAUUUAUAUUUUCUUAUCUCCACUGGAAACGGUAAAUAGCAGCAGCUUGGAAACAAUGAAAAGCUGAUUUAAUGUAGAAAAUUAGAUCGAUAACAUAGUAGGCAUCGAAUUGAAUAGUAAGUAAGUUUUCCGACAUUGAAAUAAUUUAGUUCGGAACGUUGCAAGGGCUGAGCGCGGCAAUAACUGUGUUAGCCGAUCAAUUUUCGAGUCUUAAGGAAGAUUUGAAGCAAUUGAAUAGGAAAGUGGAUCGUUUGGAAAAGGAGGAUACUAAUCAGUCUCUCAUAGAGGAACAAACCUCACUAGCCCGUCCACGUUCGGAGCUUGAAUUAAAUGAAAUUUCGUCAUUGCCGGAUUGUGUUAAAGUGUUGCCCACAUUUGAGGGAAACCCUUCACAAUAAGCCUCGUGGGUAAACAGGAUCGAAUACGAGGAAAAGUAAUUGGAAAUGCCGAUGUUUCACUGCCUUAAAGGCAAGCGAACAAUGAGUCGUAGUAUUGUCCGCAUUAAUACAAUCAUAUAGAGAUAGAGCUUUAGAUGUUUUCAUAAGGGGACUAAACGGUGACCGAGGAUGUCAACAGUUAGCAAACCUAAAAAUUUACCGGAAGCUUAUGCCAUUUGUGUGAAUUUACAGAAUAUUUCAUUAAGAAGUAAUGGUGUACAAGGGACAUAUAUGUCUCGUGGAAUUAAUGAUUAUCAA